AUGAGUUCUUUGUACAGCAACUCCUACCAAGCACCCAGGUGUGACUGGAACCCUCAGAUAAUGUGUACUACUUCGCAGGGCAGCCUGAAGGAAAGGAACUUCUUUUCAGCAGAACCUCCUGAUGAUGAAAAACACAACUUUACAUCCUGCUAGUGGAAUUGCUCAGCACCAGAAUUCUAGCUGGAUAUUCCCCUGCUUCUGGAAACCAAGACACUGUGGGAACUCCAGUAAUUAUGGAUGAAGAAAAGGCAUAGGAGAGAAAAUUUUAAAAGACCCGUGUAGCUCCUUACACAGCAAAGUCUACCUUAUUGUGGAGUCUGCAUCUGUGGAAGAUGGGGAUUUUCUACAGAGACCAUCCUCCCCAAGGAUGGGAGAAGCCAGCCUCUAUGACGUGGCCUGGCACUGUGAGGGUUCACACAGAGCAUCUUCUCACUCGGCCUCUUCCCCGGGCUGCAGACACUUUUAAGGAAUCCACAAUGAAUUAAAGAGAAAAUUGAAUUGAUCCUGAGAACAUUCUGCAGGGCAGGCUACAAAAUUUGCAGGGCCCAGAAUAAAAUGAAAUUGUGGAGCUUCUUGUCCA
rnacentral:lncRNA from 13 species